GACGAACGCUGGCGGCGUGCUUAACACAUGCAAGUCGAACGGAAAGGCCCUGCUUUUGUGGGGUGCUCGAGUGGCGAACGGGUGAGUAACACGUGAGUUACCUGCCCCUGACUUUGGGAUAACUUCAGGAAACUGGGGCUAAUACCGGAAAGGAGCUCUUGCUGCUUGGUGGGGGUUGGAAAGUUUCGCCGGUUGGGGAUGGACUAGCGGCUUGUCAGCUUGAUGGUGGGGUAGUGUCUUACCAAGGCUAUGAAGGGUAGCCGACCUGGGAGGAUCACCGGCCACGUUAGGACUGGGAUACGGCCCAGACUCCUACGGUAGGCAACAGUGGGGAAGAUUACACAAUGGGCUGAAGCCUAAUGCAGCAACGCCGCGUCCGGGAAGACAGCAUUCGGUUUGGAAACCGCUUUCGCCUUUGACGAGGCGUUAGUGACGGUAAUGGGUAAAGAAGCACCGGCUAACUACGUG
rnacentral:rRNA from 1 species